rnacentral:rRNA from 1 species
CCUACGGGUGGCAGCAGUGGGGAAUAUUGGGCAAUGGGCGCAAGCCUGACGCAGCAACGCCGCGUGAAGGAAGAAGGCUUUCGGGUUGUAAACGUCUUUUGGCAGGGACGAAGCAAGCGACGGUACCUGACGAAUAAGCCACGGCUAACUACGUGCCAGCAGCCGCGGUAAUACGUAGGUGGCACGCGUUAUCCGGAUUGACGGGGUGUAAAGGGCGGGUAGGCGGGACUGCAAGUCAGAUGUGAAAACCACGGGCUCAACCUGUGGCCUGCAUUUGAAACUGUAGUUAGUGAGUACUGGAGAGGCAGACGGAAUUCCUGGUGUAGCGGUGAAAUGCGUAGAUAUUAGGAGGAACACCAGUGGCGAAGGCGGUCUGCUGGACAGCAACUGACGCGGAGGCGCGAAAGCGUGGGGAGCAAACAGGAUUAGAUACCCUAGUAGUC